ensembl:lncRNA
GUACUAUAUGUGUCUUUUUCUGUGUGACUUUUAUCUUUCAUUAUUAUAUAAAUGUGAUGUAUGUUAUGUUCACAAAGUGAAUACUUCAAAAUGAGGAGGACAUGCUACAACAAAACAGACUGGGUGAAUGUGAGACUUCGAGGAGGAGUACUGACACAUCCAUUUCAACGGGAUGGUUCUAGCUGCGGAGUAAUGGUCAUCAUGGUAUGGUACAACAUUAACGCAAUAAUAUUUUUCUGUGAAAUUAGAUAAGAAGAUGGGGUGGGGGAAGUUAAAACAAUCUUAAAAGGUUAAAUUGUGUAAACAGGAAGUGUAACAUUUGCAGAUGUUUUCAAUUAAUUGUUUUUGUUGUUUUUUUUUUUUUAUUUCAGAUGGCCAAAGAAGUAAUGGAAGCCAUCCAUCCAUCCAUCCAUCCGCUUCCGCUUAUCCUUUUUCAGGGUCGCGGGGGGCACUGGAGCCUAUCCCAGCUGUCAUGGGGCGAGAGGCGGGGUACACCCCGGACAGGUCGCCAGUCUGUCGCAGGGCUAACACACAGAGAUUUUUGACGACAAAAAAAGAGAUGGCCCAGGCACGAAGGACAUUUGCACAGACAAUACUUGAGGCCUCCGUAUUUGACAGUGACAACAACUGUGCCAUGUGUGCAACGGUGAAACCACCUAAUCCAGGACCCUCCAUCAUUGACUGGAUCCAGUGUGAUAAUUGCAACCGCUGGUUCCAUUCUGAAUGCCUGGACAUGACAAAUGAACAGCUCAGCAGUGCUCAGAAGACAGAGUGGAAGUGUGUGCUUUGUGUAACCUAAUUCCACAUGCGGUGAAAGCUACUUGAAUAAUCUGCUUAUAGUUGUUAUUGGUGUUUUGAGGAACACAUGUGUAAAACACAAUGUGUAUAACAUUCUUGCUUUGUGCACGUACUUCAAGUAUUUCCUUUUUGAUUUUUUGGGUUGAUUUGUGUGAUGACAGAUAAUGAAUAACAAUAUAUCUAAACUGUGUAGUAGUAAUAUGAGAAAUCAGUAAUCUGAGAAAUGUAAUUUCUCACCCUGA